rnacentral:rRNA from 1 species
GGGUUGUGAGGUUAAGCGACUAAGCGUACACGGUGGAUGCCUAGGCAGUCAGAGGCGAUGAAGGGCGUGCUAAUCUGCGAAAAGCGUCGGUAAGGUGAUAUGAACCGUUAUAACCGACGAUACCCGAAUGGGGAAACCCAGUGCAAUUCGUUGCACUAUUGCAUGGUGAAUACAUAGCCAUGCAAGGCGAACCGGGGGAACUGAAACAUCUAAGUACCCCGAGGAAAAGAAAUCAACCGAGAUUCCCCCAGUAGCGGCGAGCGAACGGGGAGGAGCCCAGAACCUGAAUCAGCGUAUGUGUUAGUGGAAGCGUCUGGAAAGUCGCACGGUACAGGGUGAUAGUCCCGUACACAAAAAUGCAUAUGUUGUGAGUUCGAUGAGUAGGGCGGGACACGUGACAUCCUGUCUGAAUAUGGGGGGACCAUCCUCCAAGGCUAAAUACUCCUGACUGACCGAUAGUGAACCAGUACCGUGAGGGAAAGGCGAAAAGAACCCCGGCGAGGGGAGUGAAAUAGAACCUGAAACCGUGUACGUACAAGCAGUGGGAGCACCUUCGUGGUGUGACUGCGUACCUUUUGUAUAAUGGGUCAGCGACUUAUAUUUUGUAGCAAGGUUAACCGAAUAGGGGAGCCGUAGGGAAACCGAGUCUUAACUGGGCGAAUAGUUGCAAGGUAUAGACCCGAAACCCGGUGAUCUAGCCAUGGGCAGGUUGAAGGUUGGGUAACACUAACUGGAGGACCGAACCGACUAAUGUUGAAAAAUUAGCGGAUGACUUGUGGCUGGGGGUGAAAGGCCAAUCAAACCGGGAGAUAGCUGGUUCUCCCCGAAAGCUAUUUAGGUAGCGCCUCGUGAACUCAUCUUCGGGGGUAGAGCACUGUUUCGGCUAGGGGGUCAUCCCGACUUACCAAACCGAUGCAAACUCCGAAUACCGAAGAAUGUUAUCACGGGAGACACACGGCGGGUGCUAACGUCCGUCGUGAAGAGGGAAACAACCCAGACCGCCAGCUAAGGUCCCAAAGUCAUGGUUAAGUGGGAAACGAUGUGGGAAGGCAUAGACAGCCAGGAUGUUGGCUUAGAAGCAGCCAUCAUUUAAAGAAAGCGUAAUAGCUCACUGGUCGAGUCGGCCUGCGCGGAAGAUGUAACGGGGCUAAACCAUGCACCGAAGCUGCGGCAGCGACACUUAGGUGUUGUUGGGUAGGGGAGCGUUCUGUAAGCCGUUGAAGGUGACCUGUGAGGGUUGCUGGAGGUAUCAGAAGUGCGAAUGCUGACAUAAGUAACGAUAAUGCGGGUGAAAAACCCGCACGCCGGAAGACCAAGGGUUCCUGUCCAACGUUAAUCGGGGCAGGGUGAGUCGACCCCUAAGGCGAGGCUGAAAAGCGUAGUCGAUGGGAAACAGGUUAAUAUUCCUGUACUUGGUGUUACUGCGAAGGGGGGACGGAGAAGGCUAGGCUAGCCGGGCGACGGUUGUCCCGGUUUAAGCAUGUAGGCGGAGUGACUUGGUAAAUCCGGUUGCUUAUCAACGCUGAGGUGUGAUGACGAGCCACUACGGUGGUGAAGUAGUUGAUGCCAAGCUUCCAGGAAAAGCCUCUAAGCAUCAGGUAACAUUAAAUCGUACCCCAAACCGACACAGGUGGUCAGGUAGAGAAUACUCAGGCGCUUGAGAGAACUCGGGUGAAGGAACUAGGCAAAAUGGUGCCGUAACUUCGGGAGAAGGCACGCUGGCAUUAGGUAAAGGGACUUGCUCCCGGAGCUGAAGCCAGUCGCAGAUACCAGCUGGCUGCAACUGUUUAAUAAAAACACAGCACUGUGCAAACACGAAAGUGGACGUAUACGGUGUGACGCCUGCCCGGUGCUGGAAGGUUAAUUGAUGGGGUCAGCCGCAAGGCGAAGCUCUUGAUCGAAGCCCCAGUAAACGGCGGCCGUAACUAUAACGGUCCUAAGGUAGCGAAAUUCCUUGUCGGGUAAGUUCCGACCUGCACGAAUGGCGUAAUGAUGGCCAGGCUGUCUCCACCCGAGACUCAGUGAAAUUGAACUCGCUGUGAAGAUGCAGUGUACCCGCGGCAAGACGGAAAGACCCCGUGAACCUUUACUAUAGCUUGACACUGAACAUUGAGCCUUGAUGUGUAGGAUAGGUGGGAGGCAUUGAAGUGUGGACGCCAGUCUGCAUGGAGCCAACCUUGAAAUACCACCCUUUAAUGUUUGAUGUUCUAACUCGGCCCCAUAAUCUGGGGUGAGGACAGUGUCUGGUGGGUAGUUUGACUGGGGCGGUCUCCUCCCAAAGAGUAACGGAGGAGCACGAAGGUUAGCUAAUCACGGUCGGACAUCGUGAGGUUAGUGCAAAGGCAUAAGCUAGCUUGACUGCGAGAGUGACGGCUCGAGCAGGUACGAAAGUAGGUCUUAGUGAUCCGGUGGUUCUGAAUGGAAGGGCCAUCGCUCAACGGAUAAAAGGUACUCCGGGGAUAACAGGCUGAUACCGCCCAAGAGUUCAUAUCGACGGCGGUGUUUGGCACCUCGAUGUCGGCUCAUCACAUCCUGGGGCUGAAGUAGGUCCCAAGGGUAUGGCUGUUCGCCAUUUAAAGUGGUACGCGAGCUGGGUUUAGAACGUCGUGAGACAGUUCGGUCCCUAUCUGCCGUGGGCGUUGGAAGAUUGAGAGGGGCUGCUCCUAGUACGAGAGGACCGGAGUGGACGAAUCACUGGUGUUCGGGUUGUCAUGCCAAUGGCAUUGCCCGGUAGCUAAAUUCGGAAGAGAUAACCGCUGAAAGCAUCUAAGCGGGAAACUUGCCUCGAGAUGAGUCUUCCCUGGGGCUUUAAGUCCCCUGAAGGAACGUUAAAGACUAUGACGUUGAUAGGCUGGGUGUGUAAGUGCAGCGAUGCAUUGAGCUAACCAGUACUAAUGAUCCGUGAGGCUUAACCUUACAACACCGAAGGUGUUU